CUAGCAUAAAGACUACGUACAGAAAAUGAAAAUGUAAUAUUUACUUUAGUGUCCAGUAGAUACAAAGAGGCUAAAUAUUUACUUGUUUCAUUUAUGAUAUCUGGCGCAUGUUUGCCACAUAUCCUACUUUGUGCUUUAACUCAUGUAAGGUGGGAAAAUAAAUGCCCAAAUAUUGGUGUAAAACACUGAAAUUUACAACAUAUUUCACAAGGCCACAGGAAUGAGCUGUAAAAAU